AAAAAACAUGGCUUUAACUCUCAAAUUCGUUAAUGUUAUGAUCAUUUUUAUUUCUCUGUUUCUGAUUGUAACUAAUAGCAGUAAAUCAUUUUCCUACCAUUUUCAAAUUAUCUUCCUUAUUUUUCCAUAUUGUUUCAUCAUAUUUUAGUAUCAUUUAUGUUUUCUUGUUUAACAUUGCAGCUCAAUUUCCUUCAGCUCAAUUUCCUUGCAAUGAUGAUGAUGAUUGUACAAGAGAUAUGUGUAUGCGUAAUAGUCUAACUCCAAAGUGUAUUAAGUAUACUUGUGAGUGCAUGUAAGUAUAACAAUUAAGAUGAAAAUAAAUGUAGGUCACUUCUAAUAAUUUAACUUUAUUUGUACGUUAAUUUAAUAUUUUAUUUAUUUACUUGUAAUAUGCAACAAGAUGUGACUCACCUUUCUUCUGCGUAAAUGUUGUGAUAUGGUUCCUCAUAUGUGUAGUUUUUCUUAAGGGAAAUUACUUUUCCAUAAAUACUUAGGUGAGUUGUUCUCGUGUGAUGAUUGAAUUUGUAGCUAAAGAAUGUAGUGAAACUAUGUCUCUAUCCCUUAAUUAAAAAGGGAAGAUAUGUAAUUUUAUGAAAUCAUUAGUAACACCAUUCAUUUUUAAAGUAUCGCAGUCUUCUAGAAAAGAUUUAAGUGUUAGUUAGGAUCAUCACAUGUCAUACCUAAACUCUUAUUCUAUUGUACCAUGGAGAACAUAUAGGGUUUUAUCUCAAAUUUAUUUGUGUCAAUACAAAGGAAAGUUAUACUUGAUAUGCA
rnacentral:lncRNA from 1 species